UCGCCUGUUUAUCAAAAACAUGGUCUUUUGUUUAAAUAAAAGGUCUGGCCUGCCCAAUGAUUUUAUUUAAUGGCUGCAGUAUAUUGACUGUACAAAGGUAGCAUAAUCAUUUGUCUCUUAAUUGGAGUCUGGAAUGAAUGGUUGGAUGAAAAAUUUACUUUCUUUAUAUUAAAUAUAAAAUUUAAUUUUUGAAUCAAAAAGUUCAAAUUUUGCUAUAGGACGAGAAGACCCUAUAGAACUUUAUUUUUGUUGGGGUAGUUGAUUUCUUGUUAAUUAUUAUUGCUUAUCUCAUAAAUAAUUAUGUUGGGGUGACAGAAAAAACUUAAUAACUUUUUCUAUAUUUAUCAUAUAUUAUGAUUUAUUGAUCCUUUAUUAUGGAUAAAAUGACUAAGUUACCUUAGGGAUAACAGCGUUAUUAUUUUAGAGAGUUCAUAUCGAUAAAAUAGUUUGCGACCUCGAUGUUGGAUUAAAAUUAGUCUUGGGAGUAGAUGAUUGACGACUAGGUCUGUUCGACCUUUAAAUUUUUACAUGAUCUGAGUUCAAACCGGAGA
rnacentral:rRNA from 1 species